AGUGUAGGCGGCCCGGCAAGUUGGACGUGAAAUCCCUCGGCUCAACCGAGGAACUGCGUCCAAAACUGCUGGGCUUGAGUCCCGGAGAGGGUGGCGGAAUUCCCAGUGUAGCGGUGAAAUGCGUAGAUAUUGGGAGGAACACCAGUGGCGAAGGCGGCCACCUGGACGGGUACUGACGCUGAGGCGCGAAAGCUAGGGGAGCAAACAGGAUUAGAUACCCUGGUAGUCC
rnacentral:rRNA from 1 species